rnacentral:rRNA from 1 species
GCACUUUAAGCAACGGGAUUUAUCCGUUGGCGCUGUGCGUUAGCACUUUAAGCAACGGAAUUUAUUCGUUGGCGACGUGCUUUAGCACUUUGAAAACUGCAUAUAUAUUUAGUGAUAUGACAUCUAAUUUGUAAUAUAUAAAGCUGAUAACUUUUAAAAAUUAUCAAGUUGAUAGACUUUAAUCUAUCAAACCUUUUUAACUGGUCAAGUUAUUAAGGGUGCAGGGCGGAUGCCUUGGCACUAGGAGCCGAUGAAGGACGUGAUAAGCUGCGAUAAGCUUCGGGGAGUUGCACGUAAACUUUGAUCCGAAGAUUUCCGAAUGAGGAAACUCACUUAGAGUAAUGUCUAAGUAUCAUUAAGUGAAUACAUAGCUUAAUGAGGGGAACUCAGGGAACUGAAACAUCUAAGUACCUGAAGGAAGAGAAAGAAAUUCGAUUCCGUAAGUAGCGGCGAGCGAACGCGGAUUAGCCCAAACCAAUAAAGUUUUCUUUAUUGGGGUUGCGGACAUAUCAUAACGAAGAGGUAUCGUAAUUGAAGAGGUUUGGAAAGACCCACCACAGAAGGUAAUAGUCCUGUAUGUUAAACGAGAAGACUUCAGAUAUGAUCCAGAGUACCACGGGACACGUGAAACCCUGUGGGAAGCAGGAGGGACCACCCUCCAAGGCUAAAUACUACCUAGUGACCGAUAGCGUAUAGUACCGUGAGGGAAAGGUGAAAAGAACCCCGGGAGGGGAGUGAAAUAGAACCUGAAACCCUGCACUUACAAGCUGUGGAAGCACAUUUCUUGUGUGACCGCGUACUUUUUGUAGAACGGGCCAACGAGUUACGUUAAGUAGCAAGGUUAAGCACUUAAGGUGCGGAGCCGUAGCGAAAGCGAGUUUUAACUGAGCGUUCAGUUACUUGACGUAGACCCGAAACCGGGCGACCUACCCAUGAGCAGGAUGAAGCGAAAGUAAAAUUUCGUGGAGGUCCGAACCCACGAGCGUUGAAAAGCUCGGGGAUGACUUGUGGGUAGCGGUGAAAUUCCAAUCGAGCCCGGAGAUAGCUGGUUCUCCCCGAAAUAGCUUUAGGGCUAGCCUCAAGGUGAGAGAUACGGAGGUAGAGCACUGAAUGUCCUAGGGGGUAUUGCACCUACCGAAGACUAUCAAACUCCGAAUGCCGUCAUCUUAUACUUGGGAGUCAGACUGUGGGUGAUAAGAUUCAUAGUCGAAAGGGCAACAGCCCAGAUCGUCAGCUAAGGUCCCUAAAUGUAAGUUAAGUGGUAAAGGAUGUGGGAUUGCACAGACAACCAGGAUGUUGGCUUAGAAGCAGCCACUCAUUCAAAGAGUGCGUAAUAGCUCACUGGUCGAGUGAUCCUGCGCCGAAGAUUUCCGGGGCUAAAACUUACUACCGAAGCUACGGCAUCAGUAAUGAUGNACAUUGGAACUGAGACACGGUCCAAACUCCUACGGGAGGCAGCAGUGGGGAAUAUUGCACAAUGGGCGAAAGCCUGAUGCAGCAACGCCGCGUGAGUGAUGAAGGCCUUCGGGUCGUAAAACUCUGUCCUCAAGGAAGAUAAUGACGGUACUUGAGGAGGAAGCCCCGGCUAACUACGUGCCAGCAGCCGCGGUAAUACGUAGGGGGCUAGCGUUAUCCGGAUUUACUGGGCGUAAAGGGUGCGUAGGCGGUCUUUCAAGUCAGGAGUGAAAGGCUACGGCUCAACCGUAGUAAGCUCUUGAAACUGGGAGACUUGAGUGCAGGAGAGGAGAGUGGAAUUCCUAGUGUAGCGGUGAAAUGCGUAGAUAUUAGGAGGAACACCAGUUGCGAAGGCGGCUCUCUGGACUGUAACUGACGCUGAGGCACGAAAGCGUGGGGAGCAAACAGGAUUAGAUACCCUGGUAGUCCACGCUGUAAACGAUGAGUACUAGGUGUCGGGGGUUACCCCCUUCGGUGCCGCAGCUAACGCAUUAAGUACUCCGCCUGGGAAGUACGCUCGCAAGAGUGAAACUCAAAGGAAUUGACGGGGACCCGCACAAGUAGCGGAGCAUGUGGUUUAAUUCGAAGCAACGCGAAGAACCUUACCUAAGCUUGACAUCCCAAUGACAUCUCCUUAAUCGGAGAGUUCCCUUCGGGGACAUUGGUGACAGGUGGUGCAUGGUUGUCGUCAGCUCGUGUCGUGAGAUGUUGGGUUAAGUCCCGCAACGAGCGCAACCCUUGUCUUUAGUUGCCAUCAUUAAGUUGGGCACUCUAGAGAGACUGCCAGGGAUAACCUGGAGGAAGGUGGGGAUGACGUCAAAUCAUCAUGCCCCUUAUGCUUAGGGCUACACACGUGCUACAAUGGGUAGUACAGAGGGUUGCCAAGCCGUAAGGUGGAGCUAAUCCCUUAAAGCUACUCUCAGUUCGGAUUGUAGGCUGAAACUCGCCUACAUGAAGCUGGAGUUACUAGUAAUCGCAGAUCAGAAUGCUGCGGUGAAUGCGUUCCCGGGUCUUGUACACACCGCCCGUCACACCACGGGAGUUGGAGACGCCCGAAGCCGAUUAUCUAACCUUUUGGAAGAAGUCGUCGAAGGUGGAAUCAAUAACUGGGGUGAAGUCGUAACAAGGUAGCCGUAUCGGAAGGUGCGGCUGGAUCACCU